AUGAACGCUAGCUACAGGCUUAACACAUGCAAGUCGAGGGGCAGCGGGAUUGAAGCUUGCUUCAAUUGCCGGCGACCGGUGCACGGGUGAGUAACGCGUAUCCAACCUUCCGUACACUCAGGGAUAGCCUUUCGAAAGAAAGAUUAAUACCUGAUGGUAUGAUGAGAUUGCAUGAUAUCAUCAUUAAAGAUUUAUCGGUGUACGAUGGGGAUGCGUUCCAUUAGGUAGUAGGCGGGGUAACGGCCCACCUAGCCAACGAUGGAUAGGGGUUCUGAGAGGAAGGUCCCCACAUUGGAACUGAGACACGGUCCAAACUCCUACGGGAGGCAGCAGUGAGGAAUAUUGGUCAAUGGACGAGAGUCUGAACCAGCCAAGUAGCGUGAAGGAUGAAGGUCCUACGGAUUGUAAACUUCUUUUAUAAGGGAAUAAACCCUCCCACGUGUGGGAGCUUGUAUGUACCUUAUGAAUAAGCAUCGGCUAACUCCGUG
rnacentral:rRNA from 1 species